rnacentral:rRNA from 1 species
UACGUAGGGGGCAAGCGUUGUCCGGAAUUAUUGGGCGUAAAGCGCGCGCAGGCGGUUUGGUAAGUCCGGUGUUUAACCCUGAAGCUCAACUUCAGGUCGCACUGGAAACUGGCAAACUUGAGUGCAGAAGAGGAAAGUGGAAUUCCACGUGUAGCGGUGAAAUGCGUAGAGAUGUGGAGGAACACCAGUGGCGAAGGCGACUUUCUGGGCUGUAACUGACGCUGAGGCGCGAAAGCGUGGGGAGCAAACAGG